CCUGACAACCUGCCUGUCUCGGACCUCUGAGCUUGCCUUACCCUUUCUGGACUUCUGCAUCGAUAUCAACACGCACCUUCAACACCACCCGGGAUGUCAAAUUCGACCAGCCUCUCGGUCCAUGGCCUCAUCUGUAUACUACCAGCUCAAGCACCUACCGCCACACAUUCAGCUGUGCGCUCCUCUG